rnacentral:rRNA from 1 species
UAGGGAAUCUUCCGCAAUGGGCGAAAGCCUGACGGAGCAACGCCGCGUGAGUGAUGAAGGUCUUCGGAUCGUAAAACUCUGUUAUUAGGGAAGAACAAAUGUGUAAGUAACUAUGCACGUCUUGACGGUACCUAAUCAGAAAGCCACGGCUAACUACGUGCCAGCAGCCGCGGUAAUACGUAGGUGGCAAGCGUUAUCCGGAAUUAUUGGGCGUAAAGCGCGCGUAGGGGGUUUUUUAAGUCUGAUGUGAAAGCCCACGGCUCAACCGUGGAGGGUCAUUGGAAACUGGAAAACUAGAGUGCAGAAGAGGAAAGUGGAAUUCCAUGUGUAGCGGUGAAAUGCGCAGAGAUAUGGAGGAACACCAGUGGCGAAGGCGACUUUCUGGUCUGUAACUGACGCUGAUGUGCGAAAGCGUGGGGAUCAAACAGG